GAAAAGAAACCAACAGGGAUUGCCUCAGUAACGGCGAGUGAAGCGGCAAAAGCUCAAAUUUGAAAUCUGUCAUCUCUGGUGGCCGAGUUGUAAUUUGGAGAGGCAUCUUCUGGAGGGGCCCAGCCUAUGUUCCUUGGAACAGGACAUCAUAGAGGGUGAGAAUCCCGUACUUGGCUGGAUGUUCCUCCUGUAAGUAGUGUCUUCUACGAGUCGAGUUGUUUGGGAAUGCAGCUCAAAAUGGGUGGUAAAUUUCAUCUAAAGCUAAAUAUUGGCGAGAGACCGAUAGCGCACAAGUAGAGUGAUCGAAAGAUGAAAAGCACUUUGAAAAUAGAGUCAAACAGUACGUGAAAUUGUUGAAAGGGAAGCGCUUGAGACCAGACUCAGCCUUGGCCAAACAGCUGUCCUUCUGGGCGGUGCACUUGGUCUCGGCUGGGCUAGCAUCAGUUGGUGUGAUAGGAUAAAGGCUUUGGAAAUGUGACUCCUUUGGGGAGUGUUAUAGUCCAAGGUGUCAUGCUGUCAACUCCGACUGUGGACCGCGCUUUUGCUAGGAUGCUGGCAUAAUGGUCUUCA
rnacentral:rRNA from 1 species